GAUGAACGCUAGCGGCAGGCCUAACACAUGCAAGUCGAGGGGUAGCAGGAUUAAGCUUGCUUAAUUGCUGACGACCGGCGCACGGGUGCGUAACGCGUAUGCAACCUACCUUAUACUGGGGUAUAGCCCGGAGAAAUUCGGAUUAAUCCCCCAUAGUACUAAUGAAUCGCAUGGUUUAUUAGUUAAAGCAUUGCGGUAUAAGAUGGGCAUGCGUCCCAUUAGCUAGAUGGUGAGGUAACGGCUCACCAUGGCUACGAUAGGUAGGGGGCCUGAGAGGGUGGUCCCCCACACUGGUACUGAGACACGGACCAGACUCCUACGGGAGGCAGCAGUGAGGAAUAUUGGUCAAUGGGCGCAAGCCUGAACCAGCCAUGCCGCGUGCAGGAAGAAUGCCCUAUGGGUUGUAAACUGCUUUUAUUUGGGAAUAAACCUCUUUACGUGUAGAGAGCUGAAGGUACCAAAUGAAUAAGCACCUGCUAACUCCGUGCCAGCCGCCGCGGUAA
rnacentral:rRNA from 1 species